CAUAUUCCUUUAAGGGCAUAUUUAAAGCCCUGGCUUCAGUCGCAGGAGCAGCGGAGAACCGAUGCAGCUGAAGCUGCCGCGGAGCCCAGCGACAGCGGAAAAACACACGUAGAAGGCGGCUGACACGACCCGGUGAGGUACAUCUUCAGGGCUGAAAUUGCUGCCUGGACCAAAAAUCAACGUCUCAGUGACAUUUAUGAAGCUUUUAAGGCCUUUUGAUUAAUCAGCCAAUCGAUGGGGAUUUUCAGAGGAGCUCCGCCCACCGCCGCUGCCUGCUCUCCUCCCCCCGCAACCCGCACCCCCGCCCGCUCCACUGUCCAGCCCUCCAUACACAAAAUGACUCUGGAACUCACUGAAUGGUCUUCUAUAUGGAUUUUUACUGCCUCUAAUAGACAGUAAGGAAAGAGGGAGAAACCUCAAUGACAAAAAAGACAAAAAAGCCAUAAA